rnacentral:misc_RNA from 1 species
AACGCAGGCCGCGCCUUGCACGUCAUUCGUGAUGUGGCAAGGCAUCUAUGUAUGAGUGUCAGCCUAACAUCCUUUUGGUUUAAUAGUAAUAUUAUUUUAUUAUUAAAUCCAUUAUGCGAGUAUCGAAAUUUUAUUUCGUUACACGCGAUUAACAGAAUGUGUCUGGCCUCAUAUAUGGAAGGUUACCCGCUGGAUUUAA